rnacentral:rRNA from 1 species
CACGUAGGGCGCAAGCGUUGUCCGGAAUUAUUGGGCGUAAAGAGCUCGUAGGCGGACUGUCACGUCUGCUGUGAAAAGCUGGGGCUUAACCCUGGCCUUGCAGUGGAUACGGGCAGACUAGAGGUAGGUAGGGGAGAAUGGAAUUCCCGGUGUAGCGGUGAAAUGCGCAGAUAUCGGGAGGAACACCGGUGGCGAAGGCGGUUCUCUGGGCCUUACCUGACGCUGAGGAGCGAAAGCGUGGGGAGCGAACAGGAUUAGA